rnacentral:rRNA from 1 species
UGGGGGAUAUUGGACAAUGGGGGGAACCCUGAUCCAGCGACACCGCGUGAGUGAAGGAGUAUCUCGGUAUGUAAAGCUCUAUCAGCAGGGAAGAAGAAAAUGACGGUACCUGACUAAGAAGCUCCGGCUAAAUACGUGCCAGCAGCCGCGGUAAUACGUAUGGAGCAAGCGUUAUCCGGAUUUACUGGGUGUAAAGGGAGCGUAGGCGGUAAGGCAAGUCUGAUGUGAAAGGCCAGGGCUCAACCCUGGGACUGCAUUGGAAACUGUUUAACUGGAGUGUCGGAGAGGCAAGUGGAAUUCCUAGUGUAGCGGUGAAAUGCGUAGAUAUUACACAGAACACCGAUUGCGAAGGCAGCUUGCUAGGCCGGAUCUGACACUGAUGCACGAAAGCGUGGGGAUCGAACAGG